GGCCCCGCUGCUUCUUCCUCUUCCUCCUCAUGUCGGCUCGGCGGCGGGUGGCCUGCUGUUAUGUGCGGAAGCAAGCGCGGCCCUUUGGGGUCCAGUGGGCCUGGGAAGGCACGACGCGGUGCUCUCUACGGCGUCCACGGGCCACCGCAAGCUGACUGGCACUUCUGCGGCGCUCUGCCUGUAUGAGCGGGGUGGCGUUCCUCGCAGUAAUUACAGGAGAGAGCAAAGAAAUGAAUUAGAAUUUCAUGAAGAAAACUGACUAACAACCAAUGUGCAAAAGGCGACAAACUGCAGGUGAAUGAAGUAAACAAAAGUGAGGAAGGAUGUACAUUUGGAAAUGCAAAAAGUUGUCAAGCUGAAUUGCACAGACCAGAGCAAAUUUUUAAGCGUUAAAAGCAAGACUCAUCAAAUUCAUGCUACAUCAUUACAGGAAUGUAAUAAGGAGGAUAAAAAAGCAUAUGAAAAGCAACCCUUGGGAUUUCCCCAACAAAGAAUUGACAACUGAAGAGAAACUGGCAAGAGCAAGAAACUAAAUGGGAUUGGAAAUUGUUUACAUUUUGGUUUUGUAAUUGGUUUGGAGCAAAAUAAAGGACUGGUGGAGGAACUCAGUGCAUCAGGUAGCAUAUGUUUGAAAUAUUGGUUUGAGGUGCAGGAACUCAAUAAGAUGUGUUAACUGUCCCAAAUGAUGCUGCCUGACCUGAGUUCCUCUGGCAUUUAUCUUUUCCGAUAUCAAAAAGUAUGAUUGGUAUUCUUUUGUUUAAUGCUGAGUUUGCUAUCUUUGGGCCAUGUUUUCAUAUUUGGUGUAUUAAAGAAAACAGCAAGUGAAAGGGGAGGCUUAGGUUUGCUACUAAAUGUGAAUCAUUUUUAAAAUUUUCUAGGGAAAUUUGUCAAACCAGAAGCUGGAGCAGCAUAAGUGGGAGAACAUCUGUGUAUUCAAUGUUUUUUCAAUAGUACAUCAAAGCUAUUUAAAUGAGCCAGAGGUUCACAGAAAGUUUAAAAAUAUAUAGAAAGACAAGCUGAGUAACAAUUUAUAUAUUAGAAAGAAAUGCUUAACAAAUUGGAGUAUUGCCAGUACUACCACAGUACUAUAAAACUAUAAUUCCUAAUAGUAAUUGAUGGACUGCCUUCAUAUGAUGCUGUUGACAUUUAUUCAUUGCUUUUAUAGCAUUCAAAUUCUUAGUUUCUAGCCAUUUCUAGCAUCUCUAGGUUUGAAGGCUUGAAACAGCCGUGAGCAAAACAACACUGAAUUGUCUUGCUCAUUUCUCACCAACUACUGCUGACAAAAUUCAGUACUUUGAACAUAAACACACAGCUGACGAUAUUUAAGAACGGUUCAGCAAGUCUUCUGCCCUAAAUAAACAAGGGGAAUCAUGACUAUUUUGACAACUUUUUUGAGUUGACCCAAAUAAGCGGCUGCCCUGAUAAACUGAUGACCCAGUUAACCAGAAUUCACUGGAUUUGGACUAUUUGUCUAUUCCACUGGCAGUUCAAUCAUCCCAGAAUAAGUAUUUUGUAUGCAACACUCAUCAAAGUUGCUGGUGAAAGCAGCAGGCCAGGCAGCAUCUCUAGGAAGAGGUACAGUCGACGUUUCAGGCCAAGACCCUUCGUCUGUUGAUUUUAUUAGAGCAACUGUAAGUUCAUAAUGUAUGCGGUGUUCUGAUUGCAUCUAGUUUUGUUUGAAUUUUAAUUGAAUUAUUCAGAAUAAUUCAUUUAAACUGGUUCUUUCACCAAUCCAAUCUAUCUUGCUCUUAUGUUUUUUAAAUGAUGCCUUUUUAAAGUAGUUCUUAGUUAUUGAAAAUGUAAUGAUUUAAAGUUACCCAUUGCUGAAGUGUCAAGUGCAUAUAUGGGCAGACACAGCCUUUUGUAAGAUCAGUUCUUAAGAAACCGCAAAGUGGCCAAUAGUGAUUCAAGGGAAUGCAGUUGCACAUUAGUAGAAUAGCAACAUUCCAUCUAAAUGUGAUCUUGAGAUGCAGUGUUCGGUUCUUUUUUGUACUUGUGUCUAAGAGUCCAACACUUAACCCUCUGACUUUUGAGGCUUGAGAAUUGCCUGUCAUAGUUAGUAAAUUAUGAGCUGCUUGCUGUGAACCAUGAUCAUAUUAACUUGUGUAGAAAAAACACACUUAAAUCAGGGAGUUUGCAUUUGUAGAAAAUGUUUUGUGAUUUUCUGUAAUGCAAAAUUUGUUGGAGUUGUAGAAUUUUUUAAAUAUGUUUCAUGAGAAAAUUCUUCAUUUUGAGAUUUGAAUGUUGUAGGGGGGUUCCAUUACUUCUGUAAUGCAGUUGUCACCUGUAAAAAUAACCUCCAGUUUGUCAGAAGUUAGUUCUUAUUAAGGGAAUUGUGAUUUUCUAUUUUUGAACAUUCCUUUGUAUAUUAUAUGUAAUGUUUUGAUUAGUUUACAUUAAAAUAAGAAUAAAUCAA